AUCAGAGUGAGAUUCUGAUAUGAACAUGAAAUCAUGUUGAUUUGAAAUCUGAUUUGCAAAAAUCAGAUCUAAAUUUAAUUAAUAGAUUAGACAUUGUUUUGAUAUAAGAUUGUCCUGGUAUAAUUCAGUUAUGCUGAAAGAUUAUCCUAGAAUAAUAUAAAAUAUUAAAAUUUAUAAGAUCUGAAAUUUUUGCAUAAUAUAUGUUGUUAUUAUGAUAUUGUUUCAGAUCUGAAAUAAAUUUUCUUUCAGAUUUGAAAUUAGUUUCAAAUCUGAAGAUGUUAUGUGUUGUUUCAUU
rnacentral:lncRNA from 1 species